UACAGAGGGUGCGAGCGUUGUCCGGAAUCACUGGGCGUAAAGGGCGCGUAGGCGGCUUGAUAAGCGUGCGGUGAAAGCCCGGGGCUCAACCCCGGGUCGGCCGUGCGAACUGUCGAGCUGGAGCACUGUAGAGGCAGGUGGAAUUCCGGGUGUAGCGGUGGAAUGCGUAGAGAUCGGGAGGAACACCAGUGGCGAAGGCGGCCGGCUGGGGGUGACCUGACGCUGAGGCGCGAAAGCGUGGGGAGCGAACCGG
rnacentral:rRNA from 1 species